CCGGGUGCGGCGUGCUAUAAUGCAGUCGAGCGGACAGAAGGGAGCUUGCUCCCGGAUGUUAGCGGCGGACGGGUGAGUAACACGUGGGUAACCUGCCUGUAAGACUGGGAUAACUCCGGGAAACCGGAGCUAAUACCGGAUAGUUCCUUGAACCGCAUGGUUCAAGGAUGAAAGACGGUUUCGGCUGUCACUUACAGAUGGACCCGCGGCGCAUUAGCUAGUUGGUGAGGUAACGGCUCACCAAGGCGACGAUGCGUAGCCGACCUGAGAGGGUGAUCGGCCACACUGGGACUGAGACACGGCCCAGACUCCUACGGGAGGCAGCAGUAGGGAAUCUUCCGCAAUGGACGAAAGUCUGACGGAGCAACGCCGCGUGAGUGAUGAAGGUUUUCGGAUCGUAAAGCUCUGUUGUUAGGGAAGAACAAGUGCAAGAGUAACUGCUUGCACCUUGACGGUACCUAACCAGAAAGCCACGGCUAACUACGUGCCAGCAGCCGCGGUAAUACGUAGGUGGCAAGCGUUGUCCGGAAUUAUUGGGCGUAAAGGGCUCGCAGGCGGUUUCUUAAGUCUGAUGUGAAAGCCCCCGGCUCAACCGGGGAGGGUCAUUGGAAACUGGGAAACUUGAGUGCAGAAGAGGAGAGUGGAAUUCCACGUGUAGCGGUGAAAUGCGUAGAGAUGUGGAGGAACACCAGUGGCGAAGGCGACUCUCUGGUCUGUAACUGACGCUGAGGAGCGAAAGCGUGGGGAGCGAACAGGAUUAGAUACCCUGGUAGUCCACGCCGUAAACGAUGAGUGCUAAGUGUUAGGGGGUUUCCGCCCCUUAGUGCUGCAGCUAACGCAUUAAGCACUCCGCCUGGGGAGUACGGUCGCAAGACUGAAACUCAAAGGAAUUGACGGGGGCCCGCACAAGCGGUGGAGCAUGUGGUUUAUUCGAAGCAACGCGAAGAACCUUACCAGGUCUUGACAUCCUUCUGACAACCCUAGAGAUAGGGCUUUCCCUUCGGGGACAGGAGUG
rnacentral:rRNA from 1 species